rnacentral:rRNA from 1 species
AGAGAGAGACAUGCGCGCAUAUCAAUAAGCGGAGGAAAAGAAACUAACAAGGAUUCCCCUAGUAACGGCGAGUGAAGCGGGAAGAGCUCAAAUUUGAAAUCUUCAAGGUUUUACCUUGACGAAUUGUAGUUUAAAGAAGUGUUUUCUGUUGAAGUUUUGGUAAAAGUUCUUUGGAAUAGGACAUCAUAGAGGGUGAGAAUCCCGUAUUUGACCAUUAUUUUCCAGCUGUGUGAUACACUUUCAGAGAGUCGGAUUGUUUGGGAAUGCAGUCCAAAAUGGGUGGUAAAUUUCAUCUAAAGCUAAAUAUUGGCGAGAGACCGAUAGCGAACAAGUACCGUGAGGGAAAGAUGAAAAGAACUUUGAAAAGAGAGUUAAACAGUACGUGAAAUUGUCAAAAGGGAAGCGUUUGACACCAGUGUUGUUUUCUCGAAAAUCAAUUAAAAAGAGCUGGAUUUUGUGUUGUAUUGACCUUUAAUCAGCUUCUGCAUCUCAAUUUUCUUGUCUUUUUUAAUGCACUUUUCGUUUAACAAGUCAACAUCAGUUUCUUUUGUUGUAAAAGGUCAUUGGAAGGUGGCUUUCUUUUCGGAGAAAGUGUUUAUAGCCUUUGCCUAUGCAAUCGGAGAGAUUGAGGUCUGCAGCGUAGAUCCUUCGGGGUUAGAUACAUUUGUGCUAAGUUAUAGCCUUUUCAUAGACAACUUGUUGACUAUGAUCAGUCAUGUAGCUUACUCGCUUAUGCUAUUUUACCUACGCUUAGGAUGUUGAUGUGAUACUGCGAGCA